rnacentral:misc_RNA from 1 species
AAAAAUGAGGCACAUACGGUGGCGGUGGGUAGUCCGUGUGCGGCUUGUAAAAUUCUCCGGCGAAGAUGCCGAGAGAAUUGCGAAUUGGGGCCGUAUUUUCCUCCAACGGAACCUCUCAAAUUCACUAUUGCUCAUAGGGUCUUCGGUGCUAGCAACAUCAUCAAAUUGCUUCAGGAUCUUCCUAAGUCGCAAAGAGCAGAUGCUGUGAACAGUAUGGUAUAUGAGGCAAGUGCAAGAAUAAG